rnacentral:piRNA from 1 species
UGGGAUGGUCAGACACGCCUGCCCAGCUAUCA